rnacentral:lncRNA from 1 species
UUGGUAUUUGGUAUAUAUUGAUAGUUGUGAUCAACCUUUAAAUUCAGGUCCUGCAUUUGGAUCUUGUUCUUGCUGCUUUGGUUAGGCAGCAAUUUAGAAUCUCUAUAGCAAUAGGCUUGCAUGUCACGCUAAUCAAGUAUGAAGCAAAGAGUUAGUUCAUAUUGUGUCUGCAAAGGCUAGCUUGCCUAGUUAGGGCCCGUAUCUUAAUCAGUGCUUUUAAUCCUCUGUUGAUGUAUCUCCCAUCGUGGUCGAUCCUUGCGGCUUGCCUUUGCAUAUUUGCACUGUUUAGUCUGUAUUAGUUGUCUUUGCCAUUGCAUAAUCAUGUUUUUCAUGUGCCAUUGGCUGUUACAAGUCGCACUUUGAGUUGUUUAUUUACUUUACUAAGUAAUAUUCCUUCCAUGAGAUGAGGUUUGCCUGCAACGGUGGCUGUGGUCGCUACGUCUUCCUUGGUUCCGGUGAGUCCAUGGUCAUCUUCCUUUAUCCAUGUGCCUUGAGAUGGCCUGGCAAUUGAGACGUGGCUGAUUGUGGUGCUGGCCACUGGGUCAAUGAUUUAGGGUUUUGUGUUGUGGUGGUGGUCUUCCGGCCACGGCAAACUUGUGUUUGUGAUGCUCUUGUUGUUGAAAUUAGUCCCUGUGCUUGUUAGGAUUUUUUGCUACUGUGCAUGUUGUUUGUUUGGGUUUGAUACUCAUUCCAGAGAAGCUUUUUGUAGUAGAAUGAGAUCUUGUUUUAGUUAUUCAAUCGGUGUCGGCAGAAGCAUUUUUACUUUUAAGAUAAUCAUCAUGAUUCGAUAUUUGUAAUCUGAGUAGCUACUCCUUUGCAAUUCUUUGUAGUGGCUUGAGUACAAACUCGGAACUGCAGCUCCUGUUGGCGCGACCUGGUGGUUGAUGUUGCAGCCUCCAGCAUAAAUAAUUAAGGUCCUGCUAUUCGAUCAUGCUGUUGUUGCUUUUGUCAGGCGGCAAUUUCUAUUACUUUGUGUGAGACUGUUCUAGGAGUACUCAGCCCUCCUAGCUAACUUGCCUAGUUAGUGCCUCGCAUGUUAGGUGUAUUAGUGCUUUUAAUCCUCCGUCGAUGUAUCUCCCAAUGUGGUUGAGUUUCGCGGCUUGCCUGCUUUGCAUAAUUGCACUGUUUCGUGUGUAUUAGUUGUCCGCCUUUGCAAACUUGUGGUUUUCAUGUGCCAUUGGAUGUUACAAGUUGCACCUUGAUGCAUAUGCGAGUUGUUUAUUUGCUUUACUGUCCGACAUUAUUUUCAUGAGCUUGGCCAUUAAAUAUCAUUCUAACUUGAAAGCCAUUUCAUAUUCAUGAAAAGGUUUCUCCUUUUGCCUUUACAUGAGGUCGGUUGCUGGUGCUUUGUAAACAAGCAGCCAUAUUUGUCUCGACUUGUGUUUUGUUGUUGAGAAACCUGGCUCGGUUUCGGUUUAGAUAUUAUUACAAGGGACAAAGGAGCAAACCUAAAGAAAAUAAAAACCUGACUCGGUUGUUUGUUUAGAUUUGAUAAUCGUUUAGGAUCUUGGCAUGCCGCUGGCCAGGAUGUGGAUUUUGAUAUCAAAGGGAUGAUUUCCUUAGACGUGUAGACUUAACCAUAUAGAUAAAUUGGACUGUCAACUUAAUCUUUCUGUAAGUUACUUGCAUGAGUAUUUGCAAAGAAUUCCUGAGAAGUUCAAUUUUUUUAGUAGAAUUAAUUAGAUCAUGGUUGUGCCACUUGAUCUUUUUACCAAGAGUUAAUGAUGUGCUUUUCUAUUGCUGGAUAGAAGAGUAGAACGGAAAAGCAAGGGCGGUGUCAUGCUUGAUAUACUCCCUUGUGUUGCGUUGUGAGUAAUAAGAUCGUCUGACCUGUGAUGAGCUUGCUUUCCCAGAUGUACAAGUAAUUUGUGGUGCUUGACUUGUUUUACAUGCCUCCUUUAUAAAUUCUAGGAUUUCUGAUGUACUCCCUCUAUAGCAAAAUACAAGACCUUUUUUGAUAAUUCCUUUGUAUAAAAAAGUCUUGUAUUUUGAUAAGGAGGGAGUAUUAAACUGUUGCUGACUUGAUGCAAGCACUGUGCUUUCAGAUGCAUGGCAGUGACGGUUUGGCGCCAUUGAGAUUGAUGACGCAUGAUGCUGCUGCAAGGCGCCGACGAGAGAAGCACCUCCAAGGUCCGAGAUUUGCAAGCACCAGAUGAAGUGGCAAGGCGAGCUGGCCGGAUCGUGUUAGUGUGUGCAUUGUUUGUCCUGGCGAAGUGCUAAUUGUUGAUAUGGGUGGUGAUGUUGUUGUGUGUACAUACAAUACAUAAAACAAAAUGUCUUGGCUGUUUGCUGCUGCUCUCUUGGUCAGCUGGCUGGUUGUGUUGCCCAAGUGGUGGAGGAAAUUCAAAUAUCCUUAUCUUUAUUUAUGUAUGUGUUGUCCCCAACCAAGCAUAGAUGAAAUGGGUUUGAAAUGCAAUGAAAUCUUGAGGAAAGGGUUUGAAUAGCUGUUGUUGCUGCUUUCCGGUUACAUAUUGUGUGAAUGAAUC